GACGAACGCUGGCGGCGUGCCUAAUACAUGCAAGUCGAACGCACUCUCGUUUAGAUUGAAGGAGCUUGCUCCUGAUUGAUAAACAUUUGAGUGAGUGGCGGACGGGUGAGUAACACGUGGGUAACCUGCCCUAAAGUGGGGGAUAACAUUUGGAAACAGAUGCUAAUACCGCAUAAAACCUAACACCGCAUGGUGUAGGGUUGAAAGAUGGUUUCGGCUAUCACUUUAGGAUGGACCCGCGGUGCAUUAGUUAGUUGGUGAGGUAAAGGCUCACCAAGACCGUGAUGCAUAGCCGACCUGAGAGGGUAAUCGGCCACACUGGGACUGAGACACGGCCCAGACUCCUACGGGAGGCAGCAGUAGGGAAUCUUCCACAAUGGACGAAAGUCUGAUGGAGCAACGCCGCGUGAGUGAAGAAGGUUUUCGGAUCGUAAAACUCUGUUGUUGGAGAAGAAUGUAUCUGAUAGUAACUGAUCA
rnacentral:rRNA from 1 species